rnacentral:misc_RNA from 1 species
GUCCUUCCUAUUCCUUUCAACACACUCUUGGAAUUUAUCCUGAAAACAGUCUUUGCUUUCAAACAUAUGCUUCUUAUACAUAUUAAUGCUUGGCGUGCACAAAGAAUUGAGUAGUUUGUCAUAAUGAUAAUUGAUUAUGCAUUGUGUUAAUUUUUGUCUAGCAAGUGCCCCUCAUUUGGGUAAUCAAUACGUUGUUGAAUGCAUUAUAUUUCGUUUCAGUUUUAAAUAAGACGGAACUCUGAAAGCAACAUCAAAUAUGGAUUCCUUUAUAGUAGAACUCAACCUUACUAUGACGUAUGAUAAGAACUUCCUUGUAUUUUAAUAUAGCUAAGGCUAUUGACUUGCAGGCUGUUGAUCUAAAGAGUUCACAAGAUUUCUUCCCUGGUGUAAAGGCUUGCAAUGAAUUCUACCAAAUUUCAG